rnacentral:rRNA from 1 species
AUUGAACGCUGGCGGCAGGCCUAACACAUGCAAGUCGAGCGGAUGAAGGGAGCUUGCUCCUGGAUUCAGCGGCGGACGGGUGAGUAAUGCCUAGGAAUCUGCCUGGUAGUGGGGGAUAACGUCCGGAAACGGGCGCUAAUACCGCAUACGUCCUGAGGGAGAAAGUGGGGGAUCUUCGGACCUCACGCUAUCAGAUGAGCCUAGGUCGGAUUAGCUAGUUGGUGGGGUAAAGGCCUACCAAGGCGACGAUCCGUAACUGGUCUGAGAGGAUGAUCAGUCACACGGGAACGGAGACACGGUCCAGACCCCGAGGGGGGCAAGCAGGGGGGAAUAUUGAAGAAGGGGGAAAAGUUGUACCCACCCUGGCGGGGGGUGGGAAAAAGGUUUUCGGAUUUAAAACCUUUUUAAUUGGGGAGGAAGGGUAAUAAUUAAAUACUUUGUUUUUUUAACGUUACCAAAAAAAUAACCCCCGGCAACGUUCGUC